GUGCUAUGAGAUGAGCCUGCGUCGGAUUAGCUAGUUGGUAGGGUAAUGGCCUACCAAGGCGACGAUCCGUAGCUGGUCUGAGAGGACGAUCAGCCACACUGGGACUGAGACACGGCCCAGACUCCUACGGGAGGCAGCAGUGGGGAAUAUUGGACAAUGGGGGAAACCCUGAUCCAGCAAUGCCGCGUGUGUGAAGAAGGCCUUCGGGUUGUAAAGCACUUUCAGUGGGGAAGAAAUUCUCAAGGCUAAUACCCUUUUGAGCGUUGACGUUACCCACAGAAGAAGCACUGGCUAACUCUGUGCCAGCAGCCGCGGUAAUACAGAGAGUGCAAGCGUUAAUCGGAAUCACUGGGCGUAAAGCGCGCGUAGGUGGAUAUUUAAGUCGGAUGUGAAAGCCCUAGGCUUAACCUGGGAAUUACAUCCGAUACUAGGUAUCUCGAGUAUGAUAGAGGGAAGUGGAAUUUCCGGUGUAGCGGUGAAAUGCGUAGAUAUCGGAAAGAACAUCAGUGGCGAAGGCGGCUUCCUGGAGCAAUACUGACACUGAGGCGCGAAAGCGUGGGGAGCAAACAGGAUUAGAGACCCUGGUAGUCCACGCCGUCAACGAUGAGAACUAGCUGUUGGAAAGUUUAAUUUCUAGUAGCAAAGCUAACGCGUUAAGUUCUCCGCCUGGGGAGUACGGCCGCAAGGUUAAAACUCAAAGAAAUUGACGGGGGCCCGCACAAGCGGUGGAGCAUGUGGUUUAAUUCGAUGCAACGCGAAAAACCUUACCUACCCUUGACAUCCUCGGAACUUGUCAGAAAUGACUUGGUGCCUUUGGGAACCGAGUGACAGGUGCUGCAUGGCUGUCGUCAGCUCGUGUCGUGAGAUGUUGGGUUAAGUCCCGUAACGAGCGCAACCCUCGUCCUUAGUUGCCAGCGGUUCGGCCGGGAACUCUAAGGAGACUGCCGGUGAUAAACCGGAGGAAGGUGAGGAUGAUGUCAAGUCAUCAUGGCCCUUACGGGUAGGGCUACACACGUGCUACAAUGGGCAGUACAAAGGGUUGCCAAACCGUGAGGUAAAGCUAAUCCCAAAAAGCUGCUCGUAGUCCGGAUUGGAGUCUGCAACUCGACUCCAUGAAGUUGGAAUCGCUAGUAAUCGCGAAUCAGAAUGUCGCGGUGAAUACGUUCUCGGGCCU
rnacentral:rRNA from 1 species